UAAUUACUCACGAUUAUAAGCGUGGGUAUUAACAUAUUAAAAGUAAAAAACACAAAUACUAUUCAUUUAGGCGUGGGUUUAAUUGUGCAGUACAUACAGACUCUUGAACUUCCUUCCAUAAUCACUUUCAGAUUUAUUUCAUGCGCAUUACUCAAAUUUUGCCCCUCCUAAAACCUCACUAUUCAACUACUUCAUCCUUCAAGCGACCCAUCCCUAUUUUCUUCCUCCUCAACCCCCGUUGACAAUGAUGAAAGUCGUCCUAUGGGUGGGUUUCGUACCCUCACCGAUACGUCGCUCAAGCCCUGAUUCUCAUUUUUUGCCAGUGCCGGGAAACGGAGAUUAUUGAUCAGGUACUUUAUCAAAGAACCUGAACUAUUUGAGAAAUCAGGUGACCACCAAGAAACGAAUACGACAAUCACAAGUACCAAAUACAAGCAUCCAAAAGCAGCUAUGAAGACGUUUAUAUUGGUUUUUAAGUUUUGUAUUGUAAUAUCAUGAUAAUGAUAUUGUUUUUAAAUGUUAUUAGAUAUUUUAUUUGUUACAAUUAAAAAAACUUGUAAACUUAAUGUAGCAAUCAAAUAUUUAUGUUUUGAAAUGAAAACAUGCAUUAUCUAU